UACUAGAGUAGCACUCGCAUAUCAAUAAGCGGAGGAAAAGAAACUAACAAGGAUUCCCCUAGUAACGGCGAGUGAAGCGGGAAGAGCUCAAAUUUGAAAUCUUAAAGGGUUUCCCUUUACGAAUUGUAGUUUAAAGAAGUGUUUUCUGUUGAGGUUUUGGUAAAAGUUCUUUGGAAUAGGACAUCAUAGAGGGUGAGAAUCCCGUAUUUGACCUUUACUUUCAACUUUGUGAUACACUUUCAAAGAGUCGGAUUGUUUGGGAAUGCAGUCCAAAAUGGGUGGUAAAUUUCAUCUAAAGCUAAAUAUUGGCGAGAGACCGAUAGCGAACAAGCACCGUGAGGGAAAGAUGAAAAGAACUUUGAAAAGAGAGUUAAACAGUACGUGAAAUUGUCAAAAGGGAAGCGUUUGACACCAGUGUUGUUUUUCUGAAAAUCAAUUAAAGAACUGUUUAUGCUAAGUUGUUUAGACUUUAUCAGCUAACUGUUUAGUUUUGAGCUUUUCUUUAAUGCACUUUUCAGUUAACAAGUCAACAUCAAUUUCUUUUGCUGUAAAAAAGCUUGAGGAAGGUGGCUUGAGAUUCGUCUUAAGUGUUUAUAGCCUCUUGCCUAUGCAGUCGGAGAGAUUGAGGUCUGCAGCGUAGAUCCCUUCGGGGCUAAAUGCAUUUGUGCUAAGUUAUAGCAUUUUAUAGACAACUUGUUGACUAUGAUUUGUCUUGUAGCUUACUCGCUUAUGUUAUUUUACCUACGCUUAGGAUGUUGAGCGCAUGUCUAUCUCU
rnacentral:rRNA from 1 species